GAGCGAAUGGAUUGAGAGCUUGCUCUCAAGAAGUUAGCGGCGGACGGGUGAGUAACACGUGGGUAACCUGCCCAUAAGACUGGGAUAACUCCGGGAAACCGGGGCUAAUACCGGAUAACAUUUUGAACUGCAUGGUUCGAAAUUGAAAGGCGGCUUCGGCUGUCACUUAUGGAUGGACCCGCGUCGCAUUAGCUAGUUGGUGAGGUAACGGCUCACCAAGGCAACGAUGCGUAGCCGACCUGAGAGGGUGAUCGGCCACACUGGGACUGAGACACGGCCCAGACUCCUACGGGAGGCAGCAGUAGGGAAUCUUCCGCAAUGGACGAAAGUCUGACGGAGCAACGCCGCGUGAGUGAUGAAGGCUUUCGGGUCGUAAAACUCUGUUGUUAGGGAAGAACAAGUGCUAGUUGAAUAAGCUGGCACCUUGACGGUACCU
rnacentral:rRNA from 1 species